AAAUAAUUGACUCGUUAACGCGAAAUCUAUGCCGCAUCCGCCCUCGAUGCUUCACUAAUUACCUGGAUAGACUACGGAGACAACAGAUUAUAUUUAUGGAACUAAACGAAGAAAAAUAUUUCAUGUCUGUCCAGCUGAAACGGCAAUCGUUAUAACCGAAGCCAUUCAGUGAUAAUUGAAAAAAAUAAUGGUGACCGAACGUAAAAAUUCGAGUUGAAAUUAUCCCGAUCUGCAACGAAACGGUUAACAGGUGUUCAACGAUGUAAUGGAGUGAUUUACUCGUCACGUUAAAACAGUUUCAGCGAUAAUGCUGGAGAAAAAUUUCCCUCGUCACGAAAUUUUUUUAAGCGAGCGUGGGUGAAGCGGUGAACUUACGUGGGGCAAAACAGGAGAAAAAUUGAAGAACAAAAAUACAUACGUAGAAUUAGAGCUUUUGAAAAUGUG
rnacentral:misc_RNA from 1 species